rnacentral:rRNA from 1 species
GAAACGACUGCUAAGACUGGAUAGGAGAUAAGAAGGCAUCUUUUUAUUUUUAAAAGACCUAGCAAUAGGUAUGCUUAGGGAAGAGCUUGCGUCACAUUAGUUAGUUGGUGGGGUAAUGGCCUACCAAGACGAUGAUGUGUAGCCGGGCUGAGAGGUCGAACGGCCACAUUGGGACUGAGACACGGCCCAAACUCCUACGGGAGGCAGCAGUAAGGAAUCUUCGGCAAUGGAGGAAACUCUGACCGAGCAAUGCCGCGUGAACGAUGAAGUAUUUCGGUACGUAAAGUUCUUUUAUUAGGGAAGAAAAGAUGGUGGAAAAACCAUUAUGACGGUACCUAAUGAAUAAGCCCCGGCUAACUAUGUGCCAGCAGCCGCGGUAAUACAUAGGGGGCAAGCGUUAUCCGGAAUUAUUGGGCGUAAAGGGUGCGUAGGCGGUUAAAUAAGUUUAUGGUCUAAGUGCAACGCCCAACGUUGUGAUGCUAUAAAAACUGUUUAGCUGGAGUUGGAUAGAGGCAAGUGGAAUUCCGUGUGUAGUGGUAAAAUGCGUAAAUAUACGGAGGAACACCAGAAGCGAAGGCGGCUUGCUGGGUCUUAACUGACGCUGAGGCACGAAAGCGUGGGGAGCAAACAGGAUUAGAUACCCUGGUAGUCCACGCCCUAAACGAUGAGUUCUAAACGUUGGAUAAAACCAGUGUUGAAGUUAACACAUUAAGUACUCCGCCUGAGUAGUACGUACGCAAGUAUGAAACUUAAAGGAAUUGACGGGACUCCGCACAAGCGGUGGAUCAUGUUGUUUAAUUCGAAGGUACCGGAAAAACCUCACCAGGUCUUGACAUGCUUUUGGCAAAGCUGUAGAAAUACAGUGGAGGUUAUCCAGAGCCAAGGUGGUGCAUGGUUGUCGUCAGCUCGUGUCGUGAGAUGUUGGGUUAAGUCCCGCAACGAGCGCAACCCUUGUUGUUAAUUGCCAUCAUUAAGUUGGGGACCUUAGCAAGACUGCCAAUGAUAAAUUGGAGGAAGGUGGGGACGACGUCAAAUCAUCAUGCCCCUUAUGACCUGGGCUACAAACGUGACACAAUGGCUGUUACAAAGGGUAGCUAAAGCGUAAGCUUCUGGCGAAUCUCAAAAAAGCAGUCUCAGUUCGGAUUGAAGUCUGCAACUCGACUUCAUGAAGUUGGAAUCGCUAGUAAUCGCGAAUCAGCAUGUCGCGGUGAAUACGUUCUCGGGUUUGUACACACCGCCCGUCAA